rnacentral:rRNA from 1 species
UUAGAGGAAGUAAAAGUCGUAACAAGGUUUCCGUAGGUGAACCUGCGGAAGGAUCAUUAUUGAAAAUAAACCUGAUGAGUUGCUGCUGGCUCUCUAGGGAGUAUUGUGCACACUUGUCAUCUUUAUAUCUCCACCUGUGCACCUUUUGUAGACCUGGAUAUCUCUCUGAGUGCUUAGCACUUCAGGUUUGAGGAUUGACUUUAUUGUUCUCUCUUUAUAUUUCCAGGCCUAUGUUUCUUCAUAUACACAUUGUAUGUUAUAGAAUGUAGUAAUUAGGCCUUUGUGCCUAUAAACCUAUACAACUUUCAGCAACGGAUCUCUUGGCUCUCGCAUCGAUGAAGAACGCAGCGAAAUGCGUUAAGUAAUGUGAAUUGCAGAAUUCAGUGAAUCAUCGAAUCUUUGAACGCACCUUGCGCUCCUUGGUAUUCCGAGGAGCAUGCCUGUUUGAGUGUCAUUAAUAUAUCAACCUCUUCAACUUUUGUUGAGUGUUGGAUGUGGGGGUUUUUUGCUGGCCUCUCUGAGUUCAGCUCCCCUGAAAUACAUUAGCGGAACAAUUUGUUCAUUGGCGUGAUAAUCUAUCUAUGCUAUUGACAUGAAGCAGUUCAGCUUAUAACAGUCCAUUGAAUUGGACAAAUUUUUAUCUAUUAAUGUGACCUCAAAUCAGGUAGGACUACCCGCUGAACUUAAGCAUAUCAAUAA